CUGACCUUUUUCUCAGAGGAGAUAGAGAAGCUGCUCUGGACUCAGCCUGAGUUUGUUCAAAGCUGCUCAGAAAAGCUCAAAACCAUCUUAACAGAUGAGAACAGUUUUGUUGCUUGCUGCACUGUAAGCUUAUUGCCUAAGUCGUUCUCCAGUGCAAUUCAGAUGUGAAGGAAAUCCUUGUGAAUGGAUGGUGGGUUCCAUUUGUGGACCACUCCCUCUGCUGCAUCCCCUUUUUUAUCUUCCAAAUCAAAUACAAGAGAGAAACUAUUUCUGGAAAACAGUGCUUCCUGUGUGUCAAGAAACUCUGAUUUACAGGCUUUAUCUCCAGUUCCAGAAGCAGGAGGCUGAAUUGCCUGAUCUUUUAUACCCAGGACCUGGCUGUGAAGACCCAAGUAGGAAUUACAGGAUUGCAGCCAGUAUCCCAACAUGGUCUGUGGCACCGACCUGUGCAGCUUGUCUCACACAUCAGGUUGGGAAGAGAGCAUAUUUGUUAAAAGUAAAGCAAAAAAACCUGAAGAAACUAAACAAACCCUCCGGAAAAACUUCUGCUGAGCAAAGUGGUAGAAAAUAAAAGCAGUUGUUUGACAUGCUGCAGCAAUGAAAGCCACCUUCUGAGGACAAGGAAGAGGUUCAUGUUAUUUGUCCCCUAAUUUCUGCUGUUAAUCUUUCACCGGAUUAUGUGCACGUGAAGGUAUUUCAGUUAUCUUCUGCCCUCAUGCCAAUAUUUGUUAGAAUUUGGGAUGGAAUUUAAUAUGAGUAAUGUCAGGAGAAACAGGUCAGAGUUUCAGAUUAACACCAAUAACCAUAAUGAGAACAGAUGCUUAUAUCCAUCUGGAAUGUAGAUUUAAUAUGUUAAAUUCAUAGCUCAGCCCAUG